AGGCUUGUAGCUUAGGUGAUUAGAGCGCACCCCUGAUAAGGGUGAGGUCGGUGGUUCAAGUCUACUCAGGCCUACCA
rnacentral:tRNA from 1 species